rnacentral:misc_RNA from 1 species
AGCAGCCGCGGUAAUUCCAGCUCCAAUAGCGUAUAUUAAAGUUGUUGCAGUUAAAAAGCUCGUAGUUGAAUUUCGGGAUCAAUAUGUUGGUCGUGCCUCGGUACGUACUAGCUUAUUGGUUUCUCCUUUCUGAAGAACCAUGAUGUCAUUUAUUUGGUGUCGUGGGGAAUCAGGACUGUUACUUUGAAAAAUUAGAGUGUUUAAAGCAGGCUCACGCUUGAAUACAUUAGCAUGGAAUAAUGAAAUAGGACGUUUGAUUCUAUUUUGUUGGUUUCUAGGAUCGACGUAAUGAUUAAUAGGGAUAGUUGGGGGCAUUAGUAUUCAAUUGUCAGAGGUGAAAUUCUUGGAUUUAUUGAAGACUAACUACUGCGAAAGCAUUUGCCAAGGAUGUUUUCAUUAAUCAAGAACGAAAGUUAGGGGAUCGAAGACGAUCAGAUACCGUCGUAGUCUUAACCAUAAACUAUAGCCGACUAGGGAUCGGAUGAUGUUAAUUUUUAAUGUACUCAUUCGCGUACCG